rnacentral:rRNA from 1 species
CUCGCCGGAAGACCAAGGGUUCCUGUCCAACGUUAAUCGGGGCAGGGUGAGUCGACCCCUAAGGCGAGGCCGAAAGGCGUAGUCGAUGGGAAACAGGUUAAUAUUCCUGUACUUGGUGUUACUGCGAAGGGGGGACGGAGAAGGCUAUGUUGGCCGGGCGACGGUUGUCCCGGUUUAAGCGUGUAGGCUGGUUUUCCAGGCAAAUCCGGAAAAUCAAGGCUGAGGCGUGAUGACGAGGCACUACGGUGCUGAAGCAACAAAUGCCCUGCUUCCAGGAAAAGCCUCUAAGCAUCAGGUAACAUCAAAUCGUACCCCAAACCGACACAGGUGGUCAGGUAGAGAAUACCAAGGCGCUUGAGAGAACUCGGGUGAAGGAACUAGGCAAAAUGGUGCCGUAACUUCGGGAGAAGGCACGCUGAUAUGUAGGUGAAGCGACUUGCUCGUGGAGCUGAAAUCAGUCGAAGAUACCAGCUGGCUGCAACUGUUUAUUAAAAACACAGCACUGUGCAAACACGAAAGUGGACGUAUACGGUGUGACGCCUGCCCGGUGCCGGAAGGUUAAUUGAUGGGGUCAGCGCAAGCGAAGCUCUUGAUCGAAGCCCCGGUAAACGGCGGCCGUAACUAUAACGGUCCUAAGGUAGCGAAAUUCCUUGUCGGGUAAGUUCCGACCUGCACGAAUGGCGUAAUGAUGGCCAGGCUGUCUCCACCCGAGACUCAGUGAAAUUGAACUCGCUGUGAAGAUGCAGUGUACCCGCGGCAAGACGGAAAGACCCCGUGAACCUUUACUAUAGCUUGACACUGAACAUUGAGCCUUGAUGUGUAGGAUAGGUGGGAGGCUUUGAAGUGUGGACGCCAGUCUGCAUGGAGCCGACCUUGAAAUACCACCCUUUAAUGUUUGAUGUUCUAACGUUGACCCGUAAUCCGGGUUGCGGACAGUGUCUGGUGGGUAGUUUGACUGGGGCGGUCUCCUCCUAAAGAGUAACGGAGGAGCACGAAGGUUGGCUAAUCCUGGUCGGACAUCAGGAGGUUAGUGCAAUGGCAUAAGCCAGCUUGACUGCGAGCGUGACGGCGCGAGCAGGUGCGAAAGCAGGUCAUAGUGAUCCGGUGGUUCUGAAUGGAAGGGCCAUCGCUCAACGGAUAAAAGGUACUCCGGGGAUAACAGGCUGAUACCGCCCAAGAGUUCAUAUCGACGGCGGUGUUUGGCACCUCGAUGUCGGCUCAUCACAUCCUGGGGCUGAAGUAGGUCCCAAGGGUAUGGCUGUUCGCCAUUUAAAGUGGUACGCGAGCUGGGUUUAGAACGUCGUGAGACAGUUCGGUCCCUAUCUGCCGUGGGCG